rnacentral:rRNA from 1 species
GACGAACGCUGGCGGCGUGCUUAACACAUGCAAGUCGAACGGAAAGGCCCUGCAUUUGUGGGGUGCUCGAGUGGCGAAAGGGUGAGUAACACGCGAGUAACCUGCCCUUGACUGUGGGAUAACUUCAGGAAACUGGGGCUAAUAUCGGACAGGAGCUCCUGCUGCAUGGUGGGGGUUGGAAAGUUUCGGCGGUUGGGGAUGGACUCGCGGCUUAUCAGCUUGUUGGUGGGGUCGUGGCUUACCAAGGCUUUGACGGGUAGCCGGACUGAGAGGGUGACCGGCCACCUGGGGACUGAGAUACGGCCCGGACUCCUACGGGAGGCAGCAGUGGGGAAUAUUGCACGAUGGGCGGAAGCCUGAUGCAGCAACGCCGCGUGCGGGAUGACGGCCUUCGGGUUGUAAGCCGCUUUCGCCUGUGACGAAGCGUGAGUGACGGUAAUGGGUAAAGAAGCACCGGCUAACUACGUG